rnacentral:rRNA from 1 species
CUCUGUGACUCCUACGGGAGGCAGCAGUUGGGGAAUAUUUGCACAAUUGGGCGCAAGCCUGAUGCAGCAACGCCGUGUGAGUGAAGAAGGUUUUCGGAUCGUAAAACUCUGUCCUAAGGGAAGAAACAAAUGACGGUACCUUAGGAGGAAGCCCCCGGCUAACUACGUGCCAGCAGCCGCGGUAAUACGUAGGGGGCAAGCGUUAUCCGGAAUCACUGGGCGUAAAGGGUGCGUAGGCGGCUUAGCAAGCCAGGGGUGAAAGGCAUUGGCUCAACCAAUGUAAGCCUUUGGAACUGUUAAGCUUGAGUGCAGGAGAGGUAAGUGGAAUUCCCUAGUGUAGAGGUGAAAAUUCGUAGAUAUUAGGAGGAACACCAGUGGCGAAGGCGACUUACUGGACUGUAACUGACGCUGAUGCACGAAAGCGUGGGUAGCGAACAGGAUUAGAUACCCUGGUAG